GUGUCCCGGGAAGUGCUGGCCAAACCUCUUGAAACAACUAAGGUAGAAUCUGGCUAAAUAGAUUUUAAAUAAAAUUCUUAAGCCAAAUGACAAUUCUUAAUGCAAUCAUGCAAACUUUCCUAGGCUGGCCUUGGAUGUGGUGUCCUCCUGCCUCAGCCUCCCACGUGCUGGGGUUACUGAUAGGGGCCACGUGCCCAGCAAAAGCUUGUUUGCGGUGUUAGUUUUCGAAAAGCAUGUGCUCUUCUAGUGCAGAGCCCACUGUAACUACCAGGGUUGAGAGCAGAGGCUGGGCUGGCGAGUUCUCUAGCACUCUGCUUCUCUGACCCUCCAAAUGGUAAGUCAGGCAUGGUGACUCAUGCCUUUAAUCCCAGCACUCAACAGACAGAGGCAGGCGGAUCUCUGCAAGUUUGAGGACAGCCAGGGCUACCUAGUGAGACCCUGUCUAGAAAAACAAUCAAAAAGAGAUAGUGAGGUUGGAGAAAACCCGUGGGAAAUAGACACUGAAAAUGAAGGUUCCGUGUGUGUGUGUGUGUGUGUGUGUGUGUGUGUGUGUGUGAGAGAGAGAGAGAGAGAGAGAGAGAGAGAGAGAGAGAGAGAGAGAGAGAGAGAGAUGAGUGGCUCACACAUCUAACUGUCCCACUGCUACUGUUCAGAGAACUCAGGGGUGCAUUUUAAGGGAUUUGCUAUUAUUGAUGGACUUGGGCUCAGAACAUAGCAGGACCAGACCUUACUUUCAGUUAAAACACAAAAACUCCUGUCUGUUAAGAGUUCAUCAGUGAGAAUCCUUCUCACCCUGCACUAGGCUCCCUCUGUGUUGUAGCCUUGUAGCCAUGUGCAGCCUGGCCAGGUUACUUAGGGGAACUCCCAAGCCUAAUACAGUUAGAAAGGCCCUGCUCUGGCAUUCUUUGCCCCACUGUAACCGAACAGUUCCAGAGCAUUACCUGACAUCCUCACAGUACACACAAAGGGCUAGCCCCGAAUGUCACAUGAAUGUCAGUCUGAGUAGAAAGAGUACAAUCAUUUCUGUCUCUUGGGCUCCACCUCAAGACUGCUGCCCGAAAUGCUGAGGAGACUCGCAUGCCACCACCACCUCAUGGAGGGCGACAGAGCCCACUGCCGCUCUCUGAACCCUGACAGCUACAGCUGCCUUGCCUUGCCUCCACCUCCCCAAAGGACAAUAUUCAAAGCACCUAGACCCUGAAGGACUCUUCACAGCACCCAGAACUGUGUUUGCCUCCCCAUCUAUCUGACUAUCCAAGGCCUUGAAACCCCCUACCCUGGGGGACCGCUCAUCUGACUUCCUGCUUCCUGGCGAGCUGCCCCUCCCUCUGCUGGACCGGCGCUCUCCAGGUGCACCCCCGUGCUGUGCGGACCUGGUGCCCACAGAUGGCCUGGGCUCGCCUUACCUAUGGCUCACUACUAGCUUUCAACAUGUGUGCAGGUAAUGCAACAGGUUUGUCUCCUACGUCUUCUGUUCCUUUCUCUGCCACCUUUAUGGAAUCUCACACUUUAAAAGACAGCAAACUAGAACUUUAUAGACAGGACACUGCUAACAACGUUCAGAAGAGAGAAAUGCUCUCAAACAAUCGGCCACCAAGAUAGUUCACACGCAUGGUCCUUGCGCCCCCAGAUUGGGUGUUGUUUGUUUUGGGUUUUUUUGAGGCUUUUUCAUGUUACAUCCAUAUCUGUAUUUAUAUCUUAUUUGUUUCACUUCCCAAGUGUAUCAUGGCAAAUGUACAGAUUUUUUGUUGUUGUUGUUAAUAAUGUGCUAGGAUUUGCUAAAAAAGAAAAUUAAAAAAAAAAAAGCC
rnacentral:lncRNA from 1 species